AAAGCGCUACCUUUUUGCCAUUCUCCGAAACUUCAACGGCUAAUUUAUCUUCUCGGUCGACUUCUGUUGAACUUAGUGGACGAACACUUUUCAUGGAGUUCCUGUUGUGAGUGAAAAGGACAAGAUGUUAAAGAUGAAGAACAUUCAUGAACAUAGAAAACUAACGGACAAAAGCGUGAAAGAAAAUCUCAUGAAUUUUAUUUCCAUGAUGAGCCAUGGUUUGUAUCAUAGAUAUCAUUACGAUUCACAUUACCAAAUGUAAAAUUAUUAUAAUAAGUGUAAAAUUAUUGAUAUAGU